rfam:Tupaia belangeri cont1.645883, whole genome shotgun sequence.
UGACCCCACGGCGCGCGGUCCUCGUGGCUUGCCGGGCCUGACCACCAUACACCGCCAUCCAACCGCAUCCAACCAACCCAGCGGCACAACCUCUUCGGGUGUUCCAACGCGGCGCCCCCUA